GCGGACGUGGUGCAGGGUGCACAGCUGUUAAUCAUAAGGCUUAUGUUCGGAAUUCAGACAGCAACCGGGGUUCGACUCCCUGCCUCCGCA